AUUGAACGCUGGCGGCAGGCCUAACACAUGCAAGUCGAGCGGAGCGGCUGACGGGUGAGUAAUGCCAAGGCAUCUGCCUGGUCGUGGGGGCUAACGUCCGGAAACGGGCGCUAAUACCGCAUACUAUCAGAUAAGCCUAGGUCGGAUUAGUUAGUUGGUGUGGUAAAGGCCUACCAAGGCGACGAUCCGUAACAGGUCUGAGAGGAUGAUCAGGCACACUGGAACUGAGACACGGUCCAGACUCCUACGGGAGGAAGCAGUGGGGAAUAUUGGACAAGGGGCGAAAGCCUGAUCCAGCCAUGCCGCGUGUGUGAAGAAGGUCUUCGGAUGGUAAAGCACUUUAAGUUGGGAGGCGUUACCAACAGAAUAAGCACCGGCUAACUUCGUGCCAGCAGACGCGGUAAUAC
rnacentral:rRNA from 1 species